rnacentral:lncRNA from 1 species
CGGACAUUACGUAUAACAAGAUCAUUAAGACUAUCUAUCGCGCUCUUGGGUAACAGAUUUUGUAUUAUCUUACCAAUUUGUUCAGGACUUUUGUUAAUGCUAGUACAUAUAUUAACAAUAUUUUCAUUAUUCUGAUAAAUACAUGGGAUAUCUAACCGCGUAGCAAAGGUAUGCCCGCGCAUCUUCUUGAAAGCUAUCAACCGUUUAGUGGAUACCCACUGAAAAUUAAAAAUUGUAUGACCUUCACACCAAUACUCUCCUGGACCAUCUUCAACUAAUGUUAGUUUAAAAAUUGAACGAGUUUUCAAGUCAUUUUCCCAAAGAAGAACAGUCGAAGUUGUUUUUAAAAGUUCAUAGCCUGCAUUAUUAAAACAUUGAACACCAAUGUCGUUGUAUCCAUUAGUCCAUAGGUAAUUGCGGUUGUAAAUCACUAGUAUUAACUCUCUUAAGCUUUCAUCGAACUUCAAUUUCAUUAAGAGUGGCGAUAAUGGUUUUAUAAUCUCCUUACUCAAUACUGGAAACCAGUUUGAGUUUUCAUAAGCAACUUUUGUGUCUUCAUGUUUAUUCAUUAUAAUCAUAUAUUUGUCAGAAAAACUAUCAACAAAGCUAUCAACUUUAAAAAAAUAGUUCUCUUUUUCUUGAGGAAUCAACUCUUGCAGUACCAUUCUAAUCAAGUUUCGUUUUUCAAAGUAUUCACUGAUGUGCACUUGAUUUUGGACUUUCUCAUUCCAAUUAAUACCAUAGCAUUCAUUUGGCUGAUAGCUUAAAGCACCAAAUCCUUCUGGACAUCCUGAAUUAGAUAAAAAACUACGCUUAAAAACACAGACAGUGUGCAAGAGUGUGUUGCAAUCACUCAAUUCAGUUGUUAAUCUGUCGAUACUGUGCCUUAAGCAGUGAAGAUCAGAUUUGAAAUCAGCUACUGGUAUGUCUUCGUCAAUGACUCUCCGCCACCGUUCUCCUGGCAAAUUUAUCAUGAAUGGCAUAAACGCAUUGUUUCGCUUUAUUGGCAACCAAUAUUCAUUAAUCCUCUUUUCUUUUAAAAUCAUCAUAAUUGGGUUCAUUUCAGAUGAUGAUAGAU